rnacentral:rRNA from 1 species
CAUGCCGUAAACGUUGGGCGCUAGGUGUGGGGCUCAUUCCACGAGCUCCGUGCCGCAGCUAACGCAUUAAGCGCCCCGCCUGGGGAGUACGGCCGCAAGGCUAAAACUCAAAGGAAUUGACGGGGGCCCGCACAAGCGGCGGAGCAUGCGGAUUAAUUCGAUGCAACGCGAAGAACCUUACCAAGGCUUGACAUAUACCGGAAACAUCUAGAGAUAGGUGCCCCGCAAGGUCGGUAUACAGGUGG